AGUUAGACACCCCGUCGAGAGAUGAAUGUUGCAGACUGCUUGCUUUUCUAGUUAUACCAACUUUAGUAAUGACCGCAGGAUAGCAAUACACAGCGGUCUCAGGAGCCACACGUUCAAACUAAAAGCCACUCUAUAGCCAUAUCAACAGUACAUAUAGGGUCCUAGCCACAGCACUAGCCACCAAACAUCUUCUUAGCUUUGCCUGAUUUCUUUAGCAAAGAGACCAAAGACAAUUCACCCACUCUCUUCCAGCAGCCGCUUGUUUGUACGGAGACCUCAGACGAGUCCAUUACGUACUGCUGUGGGGUGACGCAGCUCAAGGAAGAACAUUUAUGAUCAUUUCUUCAUUGAAAUGCAAUUAGACCAAGACUCUGAGGCAGAAGAACUACCACGUCUGCAGUGCAAAAUGAUUAAUAUGAUGAUUAUUACUUAAAUGAAAUGAUAAAGUAAUUAGUAAAUUCUUGAGUUCACACCGGAAUAUCAUUUUAAAGGGACAGUGGUUUAAAUGACUCAUCUCAUACAGAGGCUGCAAGACUGCAACUUGCUGUCUACACUGCUCCAUCUUAGCGACUUUGAUUGAGCUCAAUAACCUUCAUCCAAAUAUGGCCAGUUCGCAUUUCUACAUAUUAAGAGAGAAAAAUGGCAAACCAACUGAAUGCGUCACAGCGGAAAUUACCUUUGAAAUGUUGAUAACAGUGUUGAGCUCACUAUGCUAACUGGUUAGCAACCUGUUGCCAAGCGACAAGAAUGGUGCAAAGUAAGGCCAUCGUCAGGAUAGUGACUCACAGUACUCACACAAUUCCCAGAGGAGAAGACUGUCUUAGUUCAGUCCAGUCUGACUGGUCUACGAAGGACACAAUGGUCAAGUCCAGUCGAAGGUUGCAGCCCCUGGACUGGGGCACAACUACUGUUUUCCAAUUUGGAGUCUGCAUUCUUUGCAUGUGAUGCAAACAGGAAAUCCUCAUUGAUCAGCAGGUCUCACUACAGUCUAGCCUGAGCAGCUGCAAUAGGCUGUAAAGACUGGGUUCUCUUUUGAUGGUGUGCAGUAACAGACAGAGGUUUGUCUCUAAAAUGUGAACCUUCUGUAUACAAAGAUUUGAAUAAGUGAUGAUUUUAUGGAAAAAAUUAUAUGCAAAAUUAAAUUUUUUUGUUUGUAUUCUCCUUAAGCAACCAUUCUCAUUUUGGUUCCCCACACUCGCCGCCCACGAGUCGAUGUUGUUCCUCUUGCCAAAGCUUAACAUUUAAACAGCUUGUCAUGGGACACUGAUGAAAAACAUUCAUCCAAUUACUGCUCCUUUUUCAUAAUCCAAAUCAUACUAUUGUUCCGUAAUCCAUUUUUGGAGGAAAAAGGCUGGGUUGUAAUUAUGGCAUUAUUUAGGUGCAUAGCAUAUAAUCCGCAUUUUAGUUUAAUGAGACUGUGUCACACUAUCUAUAUGCUGUCGCUGUUUUUCUCCCUGUCUCACAGUUUUUCUCGUCUUAGUUUUCCAGGAUCUAGGAAAGGAGACAUUAACCCGUAAUAAAAGAAAGAGGAUGGAAUCAACAGGGGAGGAAAUGCGUUGUAAAAGGAUGGGUGGGGAGGCAGUCAACAGGCCUCAGCUCCCACAACAUCAAGGCAGUCCCUGGAGGAAAAAGAGAGGAAGGGAGCCAAGUCCACAGAGGCCUGCGGGUAGGGCCAGAAUACAUUACUGUCAUCGACAGCACCGUUCCCCAGACUCACACAGCAAGAAAGUAGUGCUGAGUGCGAGGGGAACGCAGAACACGACCAAUUCUAUAGAACUACAAAGCGAUGCAGCUGUCAGUGGGGCUGUGAAUGAUGUAGAGGAUGAGCUUGGGGGUAUAAGCAUGUGUAUGUGUGUGAGUGAAUGAGAGUGUGUAGUGGUGGGUGGUGGUGCAGAGGAGGUACACACUGUAAAGGCUGAUAGUAAGUAAUUAACAUACAAAUGUGAUCUCACUGAUGAAUGAAUGAUUAGAUAUUUCAUUAGCUUUCAUUGAUGAAAGACAGCCUCAUUUCUAAAGCAUGAAUGGAAAUCAAGAAAGAGGCUAAACCAAGACACUGUGCGACAUAGCAACAGAGACGUGGACUAAAGACUCUGUCCUUCUGAUUGGUCCUCAUGCAAAAAAAAAAAGAAAAUAAGUAUUAGCAUACUGGUCCUUUUUAAAAGCUCAUUCAAGAAGACUCUGCUGCCAAAUCUUUGGGUUUAAAACCUGCCGAACAUGGAGGUGGAUAUUUUAAAGGAAUAAUCUGUGCUUUAAUGUUAACUACAUGACAAAAACAGCUCAUACUGAAAUAGUGUUUUUUGUAAAUAUUAUGGACUUUUAAUAUUUGUGAACAGAAAUUUUUCACUCCUUCUUUUAAUUUUACUUGCUCUGUUGUUUCAAAUAUCGACUCUAUUAUCGAUAUCACAAUAAUAUUGCUAUGGUGAUAUUUUCCACGAUAAUUCUUCCGAGAAAAUCUGAUACAGUGACAGCCCUGUUACAAAAAGUUAUGUAGUGGUCAGAUGAGCAAAAAGUGGACUGGCUGUUUACAUUUUUGUUCAAACUUGUUAAUUUUGUCUCAAAAGCAAGGAAAAGAAAGAAAACAGACUCUUUAACCAGUUAAAGUUUAUGUCUUCCAUUAAGUUUUCUUCUUUUGUACUAUGAUAUUGACCUGUCGUGCGCUCUGACCCUGGAUUGUAUGAACUCAUGGUGCCAUUAUACGUAGACUCCACAUAUAAUACAUGUAUGACAGAAUAAUAAAACAACUUCAAAGUUUCUGGUAGACUGUACUGUAACUUAUCACCAGCUGCCAGUCCCCUUGCCUUCAGUGUAUUACAGUUCCUCUUGUCGAAAUAAUACCAAACAUGUCAUUUGAAGCUUUAAAUUGAUCCAAACUCUUUAGUCUCUGAGCAAAAUAAAGACAACACUGUUGGCCUGACUGAACACAGAGGACACAGAGCAAGGCAAUGGUGCAAACUUCCUUUUAUCAUUGUACCUUUUAUUAACUGUAGUAAUUCUGAAUGUAAUAACAGUGAUUUACUGAAGCUCGCUGCACCAUACGCUCAGCCGUAAGUCAAUAAGGAGAAAAUCAGGACUUGCUCUUUCCACUUAAAGCUCUAAUAAAUUUGGUUUCCUUUUUGGCCAGUAUACUCUGACCUUUGGUGUUAUUACGGCGGGAAAUAGAUUUAGCGUACAUGUUGAGAGUCUCAUUUUGCAGUUCAAACAUCUGCUAUCUUCACAUUCCUUCUGCAAGAAAGUGUCACACAGCCGCCAACACUUAUAAGGGAAUUUUCUUACAGUAGGAGUGUUAUUAUUCUAAGCAGGUAUUUGAGAUAUGAUAUACGUAAUUUUAUUACAAACUCAUUUUAAAGCUAAAAAAGAUGAAGGAGACACCGCUGCUGAAGUGCUCCUGUGUCCUUGCGCAGCUAUUAUUAACACAAGAAAAAUGGAAUAUAGAAGUUGAGAUGAAUGGGAUUAGUGUCUUAACGCUGCUCUUUUCAAACAUUAGCUAGAUCCGACAGUCCCUGCCCUCUUCAGGUUAUUAAAUUGCCCAUUCAGGGCAUCCAUCUCUUCUGAUAAUUACGAGCUGCCUGGAAAGAUAUUCCUUUUAUUUAACAAUUACAUGUCUCUACGAUAGUCUAAGUGUAAAGAUAUAUUUCCUCCUUCCUGUGCUGAGAUGUAUCUGGCCCAGUUUUCUGCUGUCUGCUCCUCUUAGAUCUAAAAAGCUUUGGCUACAGAAGGGGAGGGCUGUGAAGUCUUUAAAGCAGCUCUGAAUCUCUAAAGAAGAGGGGAGCUCCAGGAGGAAAAGUGAAAGGAAAGAGGGAUAAAGUAGAGGAGAAAGGAGCAGGGAUAAAAAGGAUGUAGAGAGGAGUACAGAGAUACUGAGAUACACAAAUACAAAGUGUGUCCAUGCGAGGCUGAGGGAGGGAGGGAGGGAGGACCAUUCAGCGCAGUCAGAGCUGGGUGCAGUGACUGUGAAAGUGCUUAAAUAAACACUGCAAGAGAGCAAGAAAGGGGAGGAGGAAGGGGGAGAAAGUGAGCGAUUGGGUCCCUCCGAGGGAAAGAAAGCAGAAGAGGAGAGUGGAUGCAGGUUAUUUUUUAAGUAAGCGAGAAGAAGAAGAAGAGGAGAGUCAUUAAGGUGAGAGACACAGGAGUAAAGAGAGUGAAGUAGACGGUGCGUGUCACCAAAAUAGAGAGACAAAGGGCCGGAUAAUAAGAAAGGGAAUCUAAGGUGGAGCAUUUUAAAAGAUUGAGGCGAUGUAAGUGAAAUGUGGUUGGAAGAGAAGAGGGGGGAAAAAAAGAGAGUGAAGAGAGUGAAUCGGUGGAAACAGAAACGAUGACUGCCAGAGGGGGAGAAAAUGCCUCAGGGACAGCUUCAGCCUUAACUCACGUAACACCACUGCGACAGGAAAACCUUUUACCUGCAAUCCAGGUGAUUUUCAUAUUCACUUCAGGCUUGUGCUGGCCCAGUCUUUGGAGAGGCAGAGUCACGACUCUACGAGGAUUAUACUACCUAUUUAAACUAAGUGACAUUUACAAAAACAAAUACAAGUUUAACAAAAGGUGCUGUAUAAAGGUCUGUGCUUUUUAUUAGUCUUUCUAACACAGUCAGUCUGUUUUAGCAACCUGGAAGGUCGAUAUGGCGUCUGUACGUGCCCUCCAACAUAUAGAAAACGGUAUGUGUAUUUAAGAUAAAGAGCUCCUCUUCAUACCCAGCACAUGAAAUAUUCAUGUACAUUUUGCCCUGUAUGUGCAUGGGCUCAUGGAUUAUUCAGAACAAAGUAAGGCGCUCAUUCAAGCUAAUUUAAAUCAUACUUAAGUCUUGAAAGCACAAUUAAGAUUGACUCAUUUUGACUGGAUUUUAUUACUAAUUUGCUGGCCAUAUUUAUGAGUUUUUGGCCCACUAAUAAAAGUCUAGUUUAGCUCUCUCUAGUGCCAGUAAGGAGACAAUGAAUAAGAGCUUGGUAGGAGAUAACAGCAAGGAAACAGUUUUUUCAUCAGCAAGCUAUUCCUACCAAAGAAUGAGACCAAAAGACAGUGUACUUUAGGAGGAACUGGUUGAACUCAGUGUUUGAAGUUUACCUCUGAUGUGCAGAGACUUACAUCUGUGGUGCCAGUGGGCUUUUGGUUCAAAUCUGACCCCUAACCCCCAAUUUCCACUGCAUGAACUGCCUCAAUUCUUCGUGGCAUAGAUUCAACAAGGUGCUGGAAGCAUUCCUCAGAGAGCUUGGUCCAUAUUGACAUGAUGGCAUCACACAGUUGCCGCAGAUUUGUCGGCUGCACAUCCAUGAUGCGAAUCUCCUGUUCCACCACAUCCCAAAGAUGCUCUAUUGGAUUGAGAUCUGGUGACUGUGGAGGCCAUUUGAGUACAGUGAACUCAUUGUCAUGUUCAAGAAACCAGUCUGUGAUGAUUCCAGCUUUAUGACAUGGCGCAUUAUCCUGCUGAAAGUAGCCAUCAGAGGUUGGGUACAUUGUGGUCAUAAAGGGAUGGACAUGGUCAGCAACAAUACUCAGGUAGGCUGUGGCGUUGCAACGAUGCUCAAUUGGUACCAAGGGGCCCAAAGAGUGCCAAGAAAAUAUUCCCCACACCAUGACACCACCACCACCAGCCUGAACCGUUGAUACAAGGCAGGAUGGAUCCAUGCUUUCAUGUUGUUGACGCCAAAUUCUGACCCUACCAUCCGAAUGUCGCAGCAGAAAUCGAGACUCAUCAGACCAGGCAACGUUUUUCCAAUCUUCUAUUGUCCAAUUUCGAUGAGCUUGUGCAAAUUGUAGCCUCAGUUUCCUGUUCUUAGCUGAAAGGAGUGGCACCCGGCGUGGUCUUCUGCUGCUGUAGCCCAUCUGCCUCAAAGUUCGACGUACUGUGCGUUCAGAGAUGCUCUUCUGCCUACCUUGGUUGUAACGGGUGGUUAUUUGAGUCACUGUUGCCUUUCUAUCAGCUCGAAACCAGUCUGGCCAUUCUCCUCUGACCUCUGGCAUCAACAAGGCAUUUCCGCCCACAGAACUGCCGCUCACUGGAUAUUUUUUCUUUUUCGGACCAUUCUCUGUAAACCCUAGAGAUGGUUGUGCGUGAAAAUCCCAGUAGAUCAGCAGUUUCUGAAAUACUCAGACCAGCCCUUCUGAAACCAACAACCGUGCCACGUUCAAAGUCACUCAAAUCACCUUUCUUCCCCAUACUGAUGCUCGGUUUGAACUGCAGGAGAUUGUCUUGACCAUGUCUACAUGCCUAAAUGCACUAAGUUGCCGCCAUGUGAUUGGCUGAUUAGAAAUUAAGUGUUAACGAGCAGUUGGACAGUGUACCUAAUAAAGUGGCCGGUGAGUGUACAUCUGUGGUGCCAGUGGGCUUUUGGUUCAAAUCUGACCCCUAACCCCCAAUUUCCACUGCAUGAAGGCGAUUUUCGCUGUCCGCCAAUUCCUACCGGAUCCGUUUGUGAAUCACGAGAACUUUUAGAAUCAGUAUCUCAACAUUCAUGGUGUCAUCGGGGUGAAAUGUUGUCUAAAAACCUUUUACUUGUCCGUCCCUGCCCAUUUGUAUAGUGUAAAAUACGAUCCGCCUGAAACACGUGAUGCUUUAUUUCGAAAAGAAGCCAGAUGUUUUGUUUUGCGUCUGUACCCAACUUCCUUUCCAGCAUGGACUAAUCUGUGCUGAAUUUAUGCGGCAUGCCCCGGCGUCGAGAGAAAAAUAGAACUCUUGUGAUCAGCUGCAGAGUCUGCCAAACCGCAGAAGAACCGAAAGAAGCCGGUGGAAAUUGACACAAUAACUUGAAUGGUUACGAUCAGCUGCGAUCGGCGGAUACGUCCUUUUUGUAGCUGUUCUGGAUGCGGUGGAAAUUGGGGGUUAGCCUCUGUAGUGUCACUAACCACUCUACUCAAUCUACUGUCCUGUCCUCUUGAUAAAGGCAUAAAAAGCCCCAAAAAGUCAGUCCUGUACAUGUCGUAGUCGUGUUUUCUUCAAAAAAAAAGAAAACUUUGACCUUCUUGAUUUCAAAUGUCUUCUCCUCUUUUGCUCCUCUCCAAUGUGGGGUCCCCCAGGGGUCGAUCUUGGGUCCUCUUUUAUUUAUUGUAUACAUACUACUCCACUGCAGGAAGCAAACAAAGCUGAAAUAUUAUAUGUGUAAAGAGGACAGAGCUGAGCCCAAAAUGUGUUUUUGAAGUUACAACAAUCUGCCUGGAUAAUUUUGUUGUGUUUAUUUUUUGUUCUCUUGUUGGAAAACAAUUUUUUACAUAUUACCAGAGCUGUGAAAUCAAACUUUUAUAUCUCUGUUGUAAUGAGACAAUAAAAUUCAGCCUUCCUCCCUGCAAUCAUAACUCUACAGUUAGAGAUUUUAAACCACUUUAAAAUCAUUCAGGUCAACUCCUGUUGUUUUUUUAAAUGCGCUGAAAAAAUAACAGGAGUUGACUUGAAUAGAAAAAAAGUGAUUAUUUAGUUGCAAUAAAUUUCCACUCUCAAGAUAACAUCACACCAGAAAAAGAUUGCACAGUUCUUCGUUUUCAUUAUUUUCACACAUUUUGGAGAUGAUUUAAUAUCCUCCGUGAGAAGGACUUCAGAGAUGUGAUAAAACAAUAUACAUCAAAGGCUCGUGUUACAGCUGUAUAUUUCUCCAUUUGUUCCCUUUCUUGUUCUUUUGUCUUCAGGCACUGUACCACUGGAAGUCAGUCAGGAGCACCUGGAGUCAGAUCAGUGCUUAAAAGCCUCUGUGCUGACUUCACGACACAGAGGCUUUUGGAGUGGGGGAUGGCUGCCCUGCUGCCUCUCUGACGGGGAUUCUAGUACUUUUAUCAUGAUUUUUUGUUUGAAAGACUUCUUAUUUAAUGAUUCACUAUUCUGCCUUAUUAGACUCUCACAUGGUUUGUUUUUCAAGGAGUUUCUUGUGUCUCAUUAAGAUCAGUUUGUGGAAAGUUGUUCGCCCAUCGUGGCUGCCUUGGUGCAAAAAAUCAGUAACUUUUAAUCGAAAAACCAAACAGAAUUUGAUACACCACUUCACCGGUCCAUAACCCAACACAGUAAAGACAAAUAUCAAGAUAAAUAUCAUGGAUUUGUAUAACUGUAGUCAGUCAUACAAAGUUAACAUGAAGAGAAGUUAGUGUUUUAGAGUGUAAGCAGAAAACUGAAACAGCUUUACACACAAGUUGGUCAUGCCUGUCAAACACUGAGAUAUGCAUGUAUUUUUAAACAUGCCCAUUUUCAAAGGAGACCUAUUUUUACCUUUCAUUAUGUCAGCCCAGGACCUAUAGAGUAGCUUUCCAUGACCUGCAGCUUAAAAACUCUUUAUAUUUUAUUCCUGUCAGUUGAAACCUACAGUAUGUUUCAGCAGCAUAUAGGCUCUGCAGACGCAGCUUGUGGGUGUUACUUUUCACACAGCUUUGAGGUCAUGAAUCAAACUGAAAGUUAUGCCAUAACAGAAAGUAUCUGAGGCUGGCUGUUAGCACCCACUUAGCUCAGGGUUUGUCCUUACAGGGAUAUUCCAGCCUAAAAUUAAGUUUUUAGGCUGGAAGUUAAGACACCAUAACACCGAGUUAGACACCCCGUCGAAAGAUGAGUGUUGCUUCUCUAGUUACAUCAACUUCAGUAACGACCACACGAUAGCAACACACAGCGGUCUCAGGAGCCACAGGCUCAACCAAAACGCCCCUCUAUAGCCACAAAUAACGUUCAGAACAGCCCCUAACUUCAUCAACAGUACAUAUAGGGUCCCAGCCACAGUACUAGCC